rnacentral:rRNA from 1 species
GACGAACGCUGGCGGCGUGCUUAACACAUGCAAAUCGAACGGAAAGGCCCUGCUUUUGUGGGGUGCUCGAGUGGCGAACGGGUGAGUAACACGUGUGUAACCUGCCCUUUACUUUGGGAUAACUUCAGGAAACUGGGGCUAAUACCGGAUAGGAGCUCCUGCUGCAUGGUGGGGGUUGGAAAGUUUCGGCGGUUGGGGAUGGACUCGCGGCUUAUCAGCGUGUUGGUGGGGUAGUGGCUUACCAAGGCUUUGACGGGUAGCCGGCCUGAGAGGGUGACCGGCCACAUUGGGACUGAGAUACGGCCCAGAGUCCUACGGGAGGCAGCAGUGGGGAAUAGUGCACAAUGGGCGGAAGCCUGAUGCAGCAACGCCGCGUGCGGGAUGACGGCCUUCGGGUUGUAAACCGCUUUCGCCUGUGACGAAGCGUGAGUGACGGUAAUGGGUAAAGAAGCACCGGCUAACUACGUG